UACGUAGGGGGCUAGCGUUGUCCGGAUUUAUUGGGCGUAAAGAGCGUGUAGGCGGCCAGGUAGGUCUGCUGUGAAAACUCGAGGCUCAACCUCGAGACGUCGGCGGAAACCAUCUGGCUAGAGUCCGGAAGAGGAGAGUGGAAUUCCGGGUGUAGCGGUGGAAUGCGUAGAGAUCCGGAAGAACACCGGAGGCGAAGGCGGCCAGCUGGGCGUGGUCUGACGCUGAGGCGCGAAGGCGUGGGGAGCGAACAGG
rnacentral:rRNA from 1 species